GGAGAAAUGGCUGAGUUGGGUUAAGGCACUCCCCUGCUAAGGGAGCGGCCUCUAAGAGGUCCGAAGGUUCGAGUCCUUCUUUCUCCA
rnacentral:tRNA from 1 species